GACAGCAGCCGCCACGGGAAUACGUAGGGUGCAAGCGUUAAUCGGAAUUACUGGGCGUAAAGCGUGCGCAGGCGGUUAUAUAAGACAGAUGUGAAAUCCCCGGGCUCAACCUGGGAACUGCAUUUGUGACUGUAUAGCUAGAGUACGGCAGAGGGGGAUGGAAUUCCGCGUGUAGCAGUGAAAUGCGUAGAUAUGCGGAGGAACACCGAUGGCGAAGGCAAUCCCCUGGGCCUGUACUGACGCUCAUGCACGAAAGCGUGGGGAGCAAACAGGAUUAGAUACCCCGGUAGUCCAUGUCUCUUAUAC
rnacentral:rRNA from 1 species